rnacentral:rRNA from 1 species
UACGUAGGGGGCAAGCGUUAUCCGGAUUUACUGGGUGUAAAGGGAGCGUAGACGGCGAUGCAAGUCUGAAGUGAAAGGCGGGGGCCCAACCCCUGGACUGCUUUUGAAACUGUGUGACUGGAGUGCAGGAGAGGUAAGCGGAAUUCCUGGUGUAGCGGUGAAAUGCGUAGAUAUCAGGAGGAACACCAGUGGCGAAGGCGGCUUACUGGACUGUAACUGACGUUGAGGCUCGAAAGUGUGGGUAUCAAACAGG